UUUUUUUUUUUUUUUUUGGUUAUACUUUGAUUAAUGGUUUCACUUCAGGUGGCAGACUCCAACUUGACAAGGGGUGAUGGCUGGAGAAAAUUCUUCGAGUAAUGACAUGUGGAAUUUUGAAUUUUGUUUGAUGAGGACUGAAAACCCUGCGCUGUCAGGGUUCACUUAAUGGAUGGGAGACUUUGCACUGACUUUCCAACCCAGUGGAUCAGGUGUGGAACUGAGGCAUCAAAACUGCCCCUCCAAUAACCUGAGUGUGUGUCCGAGCUGAUGAGCAUCUGGAUUCUAACACACUUUUCAUUAUGCAAAUGUGACUAGCGAGACAUGUACAUUUGCAGAUGGAAAUAAAUAGAUCCCAGGCUAUUAUUUGUUAAACCUUUGCUCACCACAUUGCAGCUCGGCUGCUUUUAUACAGAACUACAGCUGCAGGGAGGCCAGAAGAAUUCAGCAAUCAGAUAACAUAAGAACAGUGAUUUCCAAAACAUCCCUCUGGAUGCCCAUUUUACUCAUUUUCUUCCCUUGUGUCUCCCACUAUCAAGAGCAGCAGCAAGCUUGGAUUGGAUUCCUCUCAGAAUCCCUAGAGAAAGAGAGACCAGUAAAACCAGUAUGAGUAGCCUUUCCCCAUAACCAGUAUGAGUAUCCUUUCCCCAUUUCUCUAGAGCUAAAGAUAUUAUUUGUUUCUGAGAUAAAAUAUCCAUAAAAAAUCCUUUGCUUGCUUGGGCCAUUGCUGUUCCCUUUCUUUCCCAGCUUCAGUGCUGGAUAUGGGAAUGAUCCAAAGGAUCCCUUCCACACGAAGCAAAUAAAUCCACUCUUCCCUCACUCCUUUCCUUCCUUUCUGAGCUUGGUACCUUUCCUGCCAGUUCCUCAGUGGGGUUUUUUUUGGAUGUGGACUCUCUAGGGCAGCAGCAUCUGCCCAAAGUCCAUCACAAACAGAAACCAUUUUCUUUUAUUGCACUGCAUGGACCUUGAAUCAGUUUUCCUGGAAAACCGAUAUUUCCAGAUAAUUCCACAUGGACAGAAAAUGUUGCUGACCUCUGUAUUAUCUCUGGAAGUGCUUCUGCACUUAGAAAUGCUUCAGAGAUGUCACACCUCUGGUAUUACAUGGACUUCCUGGUCACUCUGGAAAAGACAUUUAAUUUUCUAAUGCAGAAAUCACCUUUUAAAAACGUCAUUAAUUGCCAGAGCCGUGGAUAAUGCCUGAGAUGUCAGAGCACAGAGUUAUUACAGCUCAGGCAGGCACUGACAGUUCCAGUUUCAGGAUCUCCCCUGCCUUCCUCUCCAAUCCCACAGCUGUCCACAGAUGGGAAAUCAUCCCUGGUAAAUCAUCGUGUGCAGAGUGCAGUGACAUUGGUGGGACGUGAGGGAGAAAAUAAACACUUCACAAUGGUGCACUGCCCUAAAAAAUACAUCUUAGCCACCAGGAAAGAGGCUUGUGGUCCUUUGCACUUCAAAGGCAUGAUGAUAAAUCUCAUUUCUUAAGGAUUGCACAGAAGUAUCUUAAGGAUACCAGGGACAAUAGGUCAGGGAAUUGCAAAAAAAAAAAAAAAGCCCCAAAAAAUCAGCAAAAUAAGGAAUUACUGUUAUGAGUCAUUAAACAAAAUUCUAGUUAUGUUUUAUGUAUUGUUGAAUAAAGAGCUCAUUGUUAUUUAUUAAAGUAUCAUCAUUACCUGAUAAACCAUGUUAGAAGAGGAUGGAUUUAUUAUUGUUCCCACACAGCUAAAAGGUUAACACCCUUCUAACUGCAAAAUAAUACAUUUUCAGCUGAUGGAAGCAUUUAACAGAGCUGGCAAAAAAUGUCCUUGGUAUUUAUUAAUAGACCAAUACCAUUUUCUAGGCCCAGCUUUUAAAAUCUUCAGGUGUGUGCAUGAGAUUUAAAGCUUUUCUCAAUUAAUUUUUCUUGAAAUUAGUUUAGCUACUUGCAAAUAUGAAUAUGUUAAAAGAUCAAACAAAAAGUGUGGACUCUCACUGUUUCAAAAUUUCUUUUAAUGGAAUUCAAAGCAACAGGUGAAAUUGAAAAAUUCACUUUGUUCCUACACCUAUUCUUGUUGCAGGUGCAGUGCAGAAGUCAGUGAAUGGAGUGUGAGAACUGAGUUUUAUCACAAGCAAGAUAUAGAAAUUCUGUGAUAAAACCCAUAAAAGGCAAUAUUUGUGACAGGGCUGUUUUAUUUGCAUCCUUUGGAUAAGAACCCCAGGAUCACCAGACCUGUCCAGGGCAGUGAUGCUGCCCUGAUUCUUAAGAUUUUCUAAAGCCUUAUGAGUUUACAUUCUUGUAGAAAACUUUCUCACACAACUUUCUAUAAACAAUCUAUUAAUUUAAAUUCCUCCAUAGAAGCAGAAAAAUUUGAUAUUCUAAUAAUUUAUCCAAUAUCAUUGGAGAGGUGGCACAUUCACCCUCCAAUCCUCUGUCACCAGGGUUUAUUUCAUUUGUCAGGUUUUUUUUAGAAUGGAAAUCAGCUAUAGCCUGUAUCUUUUAUUAAUAGACCACAUUUUGAGGGAGUACAGACAUCUCCUGGUGGGUGUGAAAGGGUUUAAGAGGAAAGUGUGAUGAAAUACACAUAUCCUUUCUCCAGCAGAAAGAAAGAAGGCGAAGAAGCUUUGUCUGGAAGGAUUCAGAUGUGUGUCCUUCAAGUUAAAGAAAAAGAAAAGUACAUUGCUUGAGCCUUUUCUCCCACAGCCUUUAGAGACUGAGAAGAUAAAAGUAGAAUCUCUUUGAACGUGAACACCUUUAAGUUAAACACAAUUAUUUGGUAUUUAGCAGGAGUUAAUGAACUCUAGCUAGUACAUUCCUCGUGUAUCUUCACUUGAAGCACUUGCAAUAUCCCCCAAUAUUUCCAGAGAAAGCACUACAGGUGUUAAAAGGAAACUGCUUUCCACUUCGUGCUUUUGUAUGUAAAUUAAAUUGCCCGAGCCAUUAGCACACCGGAGAAACCACUGGAGAUGCUCCUUGGAAGCUGCAAAGAUUAUUUUAUCCCAUUGGCGUUUCACUGAAGCCUUUUAGACAUUUAAAACUCUGAGUUUGGAUACUGUGGUUAAAAUUCUAUGGUGAAUUAUGAAAAUCUCUGUUUCCCAGGGACUCUGCAUUCUUCUAUCACUGCAGCAGUGCUACCCCUAAUUAAAACAAGCAGAUAUUUGCUGGAGGCAGAGCUAGAGGUAGAACAUCUGAUAGAGACCCUGCAUUAAGCAUGAUGUGAUCUGGUCCCCAUUUGGAGGGAGCUAAUUAAAUGUGGGAGAGCUGUAGCUGAAGUGAGGAGGGCCUUAUAUAACCACCACCAUGACAACAGUUAAGUAAAUUCUUCCAGUGUCUCAAGCAAAAUAACUGAAUGUCACAUUUCAGCUCUUCUAGCCCUCUUCCUUUCCAGUCAUGGACCACAGAAAUCUGUGAAAAAAUGUUGGUUUAUAUCAGCUGCUGGACCCAGGAAUGUAUUUACAUACCAUUAAUGUAAAGCUAUCUGUAGAUGUUACCUGGAACUGGAAAUUAGUCCUAUAAAGGAAGUUCACACCUGUCCCCAAAGAGGGGGAGAAUAUGCAGAAGUUAUCUAGAGGCCUGCUGAAAUGGGGUAUUUUGGCUGCAUGCACUAAGAAGGUUUGCUCUGUGAUUUUCUAGUCUCUCCUGGAUUUCUGGUACAGCCUCAGAACAAAGGUGUUACAUCAGAUGGAAGCUCAGCUGAGGAGAUAUCAGUUUGGUAUAGGGAGAAGUGACAAAAGAGCAUCGAAGGACAUCGAAAUGCAGGAAAUCUCUUUUUCCACUUGUUUUUUGUGUUACUUGCUUGCUGUUAGACUUUGCUCAUAUGUAUGCUUGUGUUUAGAGAAUCCCAAGUAAGACUGUUGUAAUUAUACAGCCAAUCUGAGAUCAGAUAAAACAAUCACCAGUGAUUCAGUCAUUAUUGGACCAUUUUUUUUUAUAAAGCUGUUGUCUAGUAUCCUGAAUUAUGCCAUUAGAGAUGCAGCUGCCUUCCUUGAGACCAGACCUUCCUUCUAUAGAUCUCUUUCUCUCUGGAAGCUUUUUGUGACUCUAAAUUAAAGCAUCGUUUUUCCAAGUGGGUUCUUCUCUAUCAUGGAAUUGUUUUAGUAUUGUUAUUAUAGGCUUCCAUAGAGAUAACAUUUUUAAUAGCCUGUUCUAUUUUAGCUCCAUAGCCCGUGCCUCAGUUCUGUCAGAAAAUGGUCUGCAGAGUCACCAGGGUAUAAGAAUCUGAUUAGAAAACUUGGUGCACUGCCUUUUUAGAAAGGAUCUUUGUGUUCUCCGCAGCAGAGGAAUAUGAGCUAUGCAGUGAGGUUACAAUACACAAGACUAAUUCAAAAUCUCAAUGACUACUCACUUAUUCACACAGCCAUCCCUGGGGAGAAUAAUUGAGCAAAGUGGUUAUAGGUAGUCUUAUGAUAACAUCUUUGCAUUCCUGCAGUGCCUUUCUUGCCAAGAUAUUUUACAAGUAGAUACAACCCAAGGGCUGUAAAAAUAAAAAUUACUUUAGCCCAAAUAAUGCUGCUUUCAGUGGUACAGGUCAGGAUUUAAUUUUUCUUUUUGAUUUUUUUUCCCAGGCUUUAUCAAAGACUUGACAUUGUUUAUCCUGAUGUCCCAUUUCUGAUUGACAGAUGGCUACAAGGAGACAGAAAUUGGAUUAAAUCAAUUAUCCACCAUGGGAAAUAAUGCCCAUUGUCUUAGAUUCUGACCUUCUACGCUAAUUUCUGAGAGACGUGAAAUAAAAGGUUUAAAAUUCUGUAUGCUAAUCACACCUUAUACAUUCUUAUGAAGAUCUAAUUAUAGUACAAUUACCAUCGAUUUACUAAAAAAAGCCCCAAUCUAUUGCAAUAUCAUACUGUCCAAAAAGUAUUACAAAGCUGGGCACUGUAUGAGAGCUCUUUUAAGUGCUGGCAUGGUGGCCUUCAUCAUUACAUGCACAAGCUAUUGCCUAAGUGAGCCAGUGACUGAAUAAUAACUUGUUUAAUAAUCUUUUGUCAACUGUAGUAUCUCAUCUGGAGGGUUAUCAUAAUAAAGACAGUAAUUGUUUCUUCAAA